AACAGCUAAAAUAUUCAAUAGAAGAUUAUAAACAUUGGUUUUAAAAAGAUUACGAAACGGUUGAGUUCAUUUUAAAUCUUUUUUGGUUUAUAUAUAUCAAAGCCGAGAUGGGGCAAGGGUUAUAUAUGGGCAAAGAAGUCCAAUCAUAUGUACCAGUAAAGGAGAAAAAGAAGAAAAGAAAAAAUAGAGAAAUAUUGAAGUCCCUUGAAACGGAGAAUUCGCCGCAGGUCUCGGUGUCAAAAGACGCUAAUUAAAAGAGGUGCCAA
rnacentral:lncRNA from 1 species